UCAAACUUGGUCAUUUAGAGGAAGUAAAAGUCGUAACAAGGUUUCCGUAGGUGAACCUGCGGAAGGAUCAUUAAAGAUUCUGGCCUUUGGCCAAACCUCCUCAGCUGUGCGCCCUGGCUGCACGCUGUCAAAUCUCACACACCGUGCGCCCUUCGGUUGUGGCCCUCUGGGCCGCUCCCGCUUUACACAUCACACCACAGUCCAGAAUGUCAUAACCUUAAAUUAACAACUUUCAACAACGGAUCUCUUGGUUCUCGCAUCGAUGAAGAACGCAGC
rnacentral:misc_RNA from 1 species